AUUGAACGCUGGUGGCAUGCGUAACACAUGCAAGUCGAACGGUUUCUGGUGCUUGCACCGGAGAUAGUGGCGGACGGGGGAGUAAUACGUAGGAAUCUGUCUUAGAGAGGGGGACAACCUGAGGAAACUUAGGCUAAAACCGCAUAAACUCGGAAGAGAAAAGCAGGGGACCGGAAACGGCCUUGUUCUGUAAGGUGACCCUACGUCGGAUUAGCUAGUUGGUGGGGUAACGGCCUACCAAGGCGAUGAUCUGUAGCUGGUCUGAGAGGACGGACAGCCACACUGGGACUGAGACACGGCCCAGACUCCUACGGGAGGCAGCAGUGGGGAAUAUUAGACAAUGGGGGGAACCCUGAUCCAGCGAGGCCGCGUGUGUGAAGAAGGCCUGCGGGUUGUAAAGCACUUUCAGUUGGAAAGAGAAGCGAGAUGAGAAUAUUGUUUCGUGGAGACGUUACUAACAGAAGAAGCACCGGCUAACUCUGUGCCAGCCGCCGCCGUAA
rnacentral:rRNA from 1 species